GCAGGCUCGGGUUACCUGCGAAAACUCACCCGCGGAGAGGAGGCGGCCUUGGGGAACCGACCCCCCCACCCCUCCUCCCAGCCGCACCUUGAGACUUCUAGGCUGGGGAAGGUGAACCAUCUAAAGUGGCAAACCAGCCAACCAACAGGAUAUGGACCCAGCCAGGUCUGAAUGCAGGCCCUACUGGACAGGGGACCCCGGUGCCCCAGCAACUAUUUUUCCACACCAAUGUGACCAACAACAACAGGAAGGAGCUUCUUGGUAACGAAGAGUAGAUGGAUGGACAGAGGUGCUCCCAUUCCACUACAUAGCGCUGCGUCAGAUGGCCCCUCCUCCAGGUGUGGUCUGACUGGGCAGCAUUGGCCUCACCUGGGAGCUGAGCUUGUUGGCUAUGCAGGAUCUUGGACCCUGCUUCCAUCUGCUGCAUCAGAAUCUGCAUGGGAGCAAGGUCACCAGAUGAAAACCAGCGUGUCCACUGGUGAGACGAACUGUUCCAUGAGCCGGGGCCAGGAAAAGGCAGCAAACAAAAUGAACAGUCAGCCGAGUAGCGUUUGCUAGAGAUUUACAUGGAAACCUGCUCACAGAUGCAGGGCUGCUGGAUUUAUAACAAGGGUGGGAUAAUUUGUUCUUGUGUGCUAAGAUAAGGGCAAACAAAUUUCAUGCUGUGAUGUAAGCUCCUAUCUGCAGAAGUCAGGAAAGAUUCCCUGCCCUGCUGCCGAACUGCGUCCUUGACAAAUUAUCCUGAGAGGUUUAUUUCUCUAGAGACUUCAUUCUAGAGGUCAUGCUGGGGCCUAAGUGUGGAAGGUGGAAGGACAUGCUGGUUGCAGAGAAAGGAGACUCUUCUAUUUCUGUGCAUCUGGAAGCCCAGAAAUGAAAGUGGCCACAAUGCUGGCUAUAGUAUUUGGAAAAUCCCUGAGAGAUGCUGGGGUGGCAUUGAAUAGCUCUGUGGGAUCCGUGGGCAUGGUUGAGGAAAUAUGGCUGGAAAUAGAUGUUCCCAUUUCACACCACACUUGGCCUUGGUCCAGCAGACACACACAAGCACUGGCUCUGCCCUUUAUGCUGUCAAUGGCAGGUAGGUAAGUGUCCUGUGUUCCUAGCUUUCCUCAUCACACCUCCAUGGAAAGAAGCCUUCACUAAGGUGCAGGAACUAGCUGGCUGUCUCUGCCACCCCUUCUACUUCUCGAGGACAAAGGUACUUACUGUCUCGAUCAUCUUUGUAUCCCACAUGCAGGAGUUACUCUAUAUAUUUGAAUAAUGCUUACAGAAAUAAGAAAGCAAGCUAGAGCUCGGAGGGUGAACCCCUAAGAAAUGUCAAAGCCUAAAAUUUGGAAAAUUAUGAUUCUGUAGUAUAUAGUGUUUAGUGUUUUCCAUAUAUUUGUUUUAUAAUCCUAAUGAUUCUAUAUCUAAUUAUUAUUAUCUCACUUACAAAUCUUCCACUGGAGGUUCUAGAAGCAAGAAAACACAGGUCUCAUGUAGUGAAGCCAGGAUUAGAACUCACUACUAUUAGGCAACCAACCUUUCUUUGCCCAAGCUGAUCUCAGAGUCUUGAUUCCAGGGUAUAUCACUAUCCAUGUUUCUUUAGGGAUUUCCCUGGGCCUGGGCCUGGGUCCCAUUUUUCCCAUCUGUAAAAUAGGGGGAGAGACCGAUUAAGAUCCCAUCAGCUGCUUGUCAGUGGGUGUCCGGAGCGCAGGAGGAGGAGGUGUGCAGUCAGGCAGACUGGGUGAUGUCAAGUGUGAGUCCCCAGUAAACUGGAUGUUGUUUCGCCAGUGUGAAAAAAGUGAACAGGGAGCCAGUCAGUGGCACAGAGCCUUCUAGAGGCAGUUCAUCCCAGGGCCUGGAAGUCCAAUCUAGGACUGGUGAGUGACCAAGCUAGUGUAAUAGAGAACAGUGAUCCCAAAAGAUGUGCAUGGUCCUGUUUGUGUGUUUGCAGAGUAAGGCACACAUAUGUGCACACUUAUGCACACAUGGAUACAGCCAUCAAGAGAGGGGAUCCCUGGGUGGCGCAGCGGUUUGGCGCCUGCCUUUGGCCCGGGGCGCGAUCCUGGAGACCCGGGAUCGAAUCCCACAUCGGGCUCCCGGUGCAUGGAGCCUG